rnacentral:misc_RNA from 1 species
GAUGAAGAACGCAGCGAAAUGCGAUAAGUAAUGUGAAUUGCAGAAUUCAGUGAAUCAUCGAAUCUUUGAACGCACAUUGCGCCCGCCAGUAUUCUGGCGGGCAUGCCUGUCUGAGCGUCAUUUCAACCCUCAUGCCCCUAGGGCGUGGUGUUGGGGAUCGGCCAAAGCCCGCGAGGGACGGCCGGCCCCUAAAUCUAGUGGCGGACCCGUCGUGGCCUCCUCUGCGAAGUAGUGAUAUUCCGCAUCGGAGAGCGAUGAGCACCUGCCGUUAAACCCCCAACUUUCCAAGGUUGACCUCAGAUCAGGUAGGAAUACCCGCUGAACUUAAGCAUAUCAUAAGCGGAGGA